rnacentral:rRNA from 1 species
GACGAACGCUGGCGGCGUGCUUAACACAUGCAAGUCGAACGGUAAGGCCCUGCUUUUGUGGGGGGCUCGAGUGGCGAACGGGUGAGUAACACGUGAGUAACCUGCCCUUGACUUUGGGAUAACUUCAGGAAACUGGGGCUAAUACCGGAUAUGAGCUCCUUCUGCAUGGUGGGGGUUGGAAAGUUUCGGCGGUUGGGGAUGGACUCGCGGCUUAUCAGCUUGUUGGUGGGGUAGUGGCUUACCAAGGCUUUGACGGGUAGCCGGCCUGAGAGGGUGACCGGCCACAUUGGGACUGAGAUACGGCCCAGACUCCUACGGGAGGCAGCAGUGGGGAAUAUUGCACAAUGGGCGGAAGCCUGAUGCAGCAACGCCGCGUGCGGGAUGACGGCCUUCGGGUUGUAAACCGCUUUCGCCUGUGACGAAGCGUGAGUGACGGUAAUGGGUAAAGAAGCACCGGCUAACUACGUG